rnacentral:lncRNA from 1 species
CGGAAAGUGAAACUUACAAAAAAAGUGCUGGUAACAUUUAAAAAAAAACAACAAAAACCCCAAAAAACAAACAUCAUUCUUAGCAACAUCAAUUACUCUUCCACACAAAACAGAAACCUUGUAAAAUUUAUUUUCGUAUUUUUAAGGCGUAAUACUUCUGUAUAAAGUAUAUGCAAGAGAUAAAACUUCACAGUAUUCCAAAAUGUCACAAUAAUAAUAAUAAUAAUAAUAAUAUAGUAUAAUGAAGCGCUACAGUUAAUUUUUCUUUUUUUGAAUUUUUUUUCCUGUUUAAAUUACAAAUACAAGUCACAGGUAAAUAUACGUGAGAAAAUACGAGGCUAAUAUUAAAUGGCAGGUAAGGAUACUGUCACUGUAAGAAAAAACUGGCAGGAUGUGUGUAUUUAGUCUAUAUUUUAAAGCACUUGAUAGAAAAGGCGUAUGCAAGGUUUUUCAAAACAAGUUUUCUGUUUGUUUGUUUGAUAACUGACAAGAGUAUAAUGAGAAAAAAAAGGAACAAACUUCCUCUCAAAACUAUUGACCUGCUCAUCCCAAACCAUGUGUAUAUAUUGAUGGAUGGAUGUGUGUGUUCGUGUAUGCAUGGAUUCUACGGCACACAGAUGGGUACAAGCAGUGGUCCAUGCCCAGCUGCAAAGACUGGAGGGUAAAGACUGUAGUCAUUUGGCCUAUGUUCUUCUUAGGAAAUUACUCUUUCAAUUUAAAGCUUUCUCUUUCCUUGCCUCUCUCUCUUUCCAAACUUUCCCCUGAUUCCCAGGUCUUCAAUCUGAAAGACAGUCUGGUUAAAAAAAAUUGCCCUCCAUUCAAAAUUCACUGGGAAAUGGAAACUGCAUAAACAGUGACAUUCACACAGACAUUGGAAAUAUCAUUUGGAUGAAUGAAUUGUAUUUGAACAUGUGUGUGUAUGUGUAUGCUUGUGUUAAGUUUGAAUACACACUGUGUGUAUGUAUUUUAGGUCUGAAUAUACAGUGUGUGCGUGUGUGUGUGUGUGUGUGUGUGCGAGCGUACACAGUAGCAAUUGCAAAAAAGGGCCCAUAUUCCUUUCCAUACUUAGAUACAAUGUGAUAAGAAACAUUUCUGUGCAGGAAAAAGGGUUUCUUCGAAUCUUAUCACAACACUGUGGCGAGAAAAUAAGGAAAUGGGUUCACCUUUCAGCAGUCACCACAGUAAACUUCAUUGAGAAAGUGUGUGCUCAGAUGUCUGAUCCGUGCACAUGCAUGUGUUAACAGCUAGCCAUUCAGCCAACAGGUAACAGAAGGACAGCAGAUAGCAAAACACGUCAAUAAGGUGCUCAAAGAAAAAAGUGGCACCCACUCCUCAAAUGGAUGGCCACAUUAAGGUGCUUCAAAAAGUUUUUUUUCAGUUUUUAUUUUAAACACGAAGAGAGUACUGAUUUGCACAUGGUAGCUUUGAGCCAGGCCAAGGGUUUUGAGAUUUCUGACAUCUUCCAUUGACAAGGGCUUUUCACUGUAGUUGUUUUGGUCAGUUGGUUGUGGUCACUUGAGUUUAAAACUUUUUUAUAGCCAAAAACUGAAAUGAAAUCAACAUCACUAAAAGAAAUAACUGAUAAAAUGGUAUAGAACAUUACUGCAUUCCCAUUGGAUCGAGAUGGUUUCGCCCAUUUUUCCUCUUUCACUAACACUGUUCCUUUUUUCUUUGUUACAAUCCAUUCCUUAUGAACAUACAGAAAUGACCAAAGUCACUGAAAGUGGCUGUUUUUAUUUUUUGUGAUCUGUUGCAAGAGUCCAACCUUGUUUCCUCUGCUGCUGUUUGUGUAGCAUCUGGUUUUAUAAUGAGUAUCUGGAUUUUUUUGUGUGCAUGUGUGUAUAUAUGCACAUAUACACACCUAUACAUGUAUAAUAUAUACACUACGUAUAUGUGGACAUAUAUAGGAAUUGUGUAUACAUUUAUACAUAAUAUAGUGUAUAUUGUUUCAACUGGAGAUAAACUGAACUGGGUUUAGACAGUAGCACAUGUCUAUCUUUCCCUGCUCCCUCUGCAUAUUUUAAACAGUCUGGAGCUUUUAUUUAUUUUUUUAAAGUGCAUUUUCAAUGCAGAAUAACUGUAAUACACUGAUUCCUUGGAAAACAUUUCUGAUGAGAAAAAUCUGACAGUUCUCAGCCCCAAGCAAGAGAAACCUGGGUUUGGUCGUGCUGGGGGCUGACGUGGCAGUGCCAGGCUCAUGCCUGAGUGAUUACUGGGCAUUCUGGACUCCGGGCACCUUAGCAGCAGCAGCAGCAGCACCUUUAUGAGAAGGCAGAGAUAGAAAAGCAAGAAGGAAGGAAAGCUCAGAUGAGGAAGAAUGAAUUUGGUGUGUGUGUACACAUCAGAAUUGCUAACUUUGUAAUGGAUGCAUGCAGUCCCUGCUUGGCUUCAGCUAAGAGCUGCCAUCUAGUUCCUUCCCCACCAACUGACACCAACCUCCCUGUGGCCCCGCAUGCUCAAGCAUCACCCAUAUGUCCCCACUCCUGAGACUGACUUCUGUGUCAGUUCCUGUGGGUAUGUGAGUGCCAGCAUCUAGUGGGAAUAAGGCACCAGAGAAAUCAAAAUGUUACAAAAAGAUGUGAAACCCCAUUUCAAAGAGCCUGUCCUGAUGCUCCAUUAAAAUAUUGCAUGUGAUACCAUUAAUUUGUGUGUACUUAAAGUGUGUCAAAUAGUCUCUGAAAGGAACUGGCAGCCCCUCAGCACCAGAGAGCUUUAGGAAUGCACCCU